GACGAACGCUGGCGGCGUGCUUAACACAUGCAAGUCGUACGGUAAGGCCCUUUCGGGGGUACAUGAGCGGCGAACGGGCGAGUAAGACGUGAGUAACUUGCCCACAACUUUGGGAUAACGCUAGGAAACUGGUGCUAAUACUUGCUAUGUGCUCCCGCCGCAUGGUGGGGGUUGGAAAGCUCCGGCGGUCGUGGAUGGACGCGCGGCCUAACAGCUUGUUGGUGGGGUAGUGGGCUACCAACGCGGCGACGGGUAGCCGGCCAGAGGGGGUGACCGGCCACAUUGGGACUGAGGGGCGGCCCAAGCUCCUAAUGGGGGGCAAAGGGGGGAAUAUUGAACAAUGGGCGCAAGCCGUAUGCAGCAACGCCGCGGGCGGGAAGGCGGCCUUCGGGUUGGAAAACGCUUUCAGUAGGGACGAAGCUUUUUGUGACGGUACCUGCAGAAGAAGCACCGGCUAACUACGUG
rnacentral:rRNA from 1 species